UCUAUUUAUUUAUUUAUAACAAAGUAACCUUAACAAAAAAAACAAAAAAUCCAAACAGUUUCUAAUGUUUUAUGAUAUGUAUACAUCAUUUAAUGUUUUAUGAUAUGUAUACAUCAUUUAAUGUUUAAAUCUCUGUAUUAAAUAAAAAUUAAAGGGUUUUAAGUUAGAAUGUGGAAGAUGUUAAAGCCGCCGCAGAUUUUUAGUGAGUGGGCAAGCAAGCACCCGCGAAGUUCGGGCAUGGUGCCGAGUGUAGCUAUAGAAAAAACAACAAAGCAUUAAAAGCCUUUGCUGUCCAUAUGCAGAAGUCUUCUGUCAAUGUGGAACCCAUUCGCCAUUUGCAUUACUUCAACUCUUCACACACCAUCGCGAUUUGCGGAUUUG
rnacentral:lncRNA from 1 species